GGGGCUGUAGCUCAAUGGUAGAGAGCUCAUCUAGCAUGCAUGAGGCACUGGGUUCGAUCCUCAGCCCCA
rfam:Ictidomys tridecemlineatus contig090473, whole genome shotgun sequence.